CAGAGGAACUAAAGUCAAUCACAACCCACCGAUCAAUUGGUUUCCCUUCCACCACUCCUUUUCCAACAAGAUUCCAGUGGCACUUUUCCUUGUCAACAGCAAUUUUUAUCACCCUUCCAUUGGAAGCACUUAGCUUCAACUCCGGUGGCCCAAUCACACGCCCUAGCACUGAAGUCAUAUCCAUGUCAACUUCCAUUCCAAAAUUCUGGAUUAUGUUUCCACCACAAGGCCCAUCUCUAUCAGCUACCAUAUCACAUAUUAUCCUCUGCCUGUCCCUUGGAGUUGCCAAGGAUAUCUUCUUCAAAUAGAGGCCCACAUCUCGAUUCAAAUUCUCCUUUGGAUAAAUCUGACCCUCAACCAGGACACAGAACUCCAUUGGUACAUAAUUUUUUCGGUUGUUUGUGCCUAAAUCAAGACAAGGAAUGUCUUUGAAUUGUAUAUCCUGGUACUUUUGCCUGAAAUAUUCAACAAGAAUAACUUUCCUUGGUGGAGCUUUGCUAUUUGGGUCUUCAGAAAAAAAUGAAAGAUAACGUGCAUUAUCCUUUGUAAGUCCAGCAAUAGUAUACUUUUGUUUGGUAAUGCGGUGAGUCACUGUAACUUUCAGUCCCUUCAAUGCAUUCUCAACAUCUCUUCCACAGCUUCUGAAAUCAUUUAAGUUAAACCCAGGAACAUGCUCUCUAAGAAAAUCUAUCACUGGAAGUCGCUUGCGAAAUGCCAGUACAGAAUAGUCCAAGCACAUGGCUAGACCCUGGAAGGUGGGCUUGAGGCUAUGCUGAAAACCUCUGG
rnacentral:misc_RNA from 1 species